AUGCAGUCGAACGGAAGCAAAGAUUUCGGUUUUUGCUUUAGUGGCGAACGGGUGAGUAACGCGUGAGGAACCUGCCUUUCAGUGGGGGACAACAGUUGGAAACGACUGCUAAUACCGCAUAAUGCUUUUGAGUGGCAUCACUUAAAAGUCAAAGAUUUAUUGCUGAAAGAUGGCCUCGCGUCUGAUUAGCUAGUUGGCGGGGUAACGGCCCACCAAGGCGACGAUCAGUAGCCGGUCUGAGAGGAUGAACGGCCACAUUGGGACUGAGAUACGGCCCAGACUCCUACGGGAGGCAGCAGUGGGGAAUAUUGGGCAAUGGGGGAAACCCUGACCCAGCAACGCCGCGUGAAGGAAGAAGGCCUUCGGGUUGUAAACUUCUUUUACCAGGGGCGAAAGAAAUGACGGUACCUGGAGAAAAAGCAACGGCUAACUACGUGCCAGCAGCCGCGGUAAUACGUAGGUUGCGAGCGUUGUCCGGAUUUACCGGGUGUAAAGGGCGUGUAGGCGGAGAUGCAAGUUGGGAGUGAAAUCCAUGGGCUCAACCCAUGAACUGCUUCCAAAACUGUAUCCCUUGAGUAUCGGAGAGGCAAGCGGAAUUCCUAGUGUAGCGGUGAAAUGCGUAGAUAUUAGGAGGAACACCAGUGGCGAAGGCGGCUUGCUGGACGACAACUGACGCUGAGGCGCGAAAGCGUGGGGAGCAAACAGGAUUAGAUACCCUGGUAGUCCACGCUGUAAACGAUGAAUACUAGGUGUGGGAGGACUGACCCCUUCCGUGCCGCAGUUAACACAAUAAGUAUUCCACCUGGGGAGUACGACCGCAAGGUUGAAACUCAA
rnacentral:rRNA from 1 species